rnacentral:misc_RNA from 1 species
ACGAAUGGUCAUCCUUGAUCUUCUACCCUCAAACAACUGUGGACACCAGAUGUGCUUCGGCGUCGAGAGGCGCCGCCUUUAUGCUUCAGAGUAUUGUAGUCUGUAUGAAACAAUGUCA